rnacentral:rRNA from 1 species
GAACGAACGCUGGCGGCAGGCCUAACACAUGCAAGUCGAGCGGACCUUUCGGGGUCAGCGGCGGACGGGUGAGUAACGCGUGGGAAUAUGCCCUUCUCUACGGAAUAGUCCUGGGAAACUGGGGGUAAUACCGUAUACGCCCUUUGGGGGAAAGAUUUAUCGGGGAAGGAUUAGCCCGCGUUGGAUUAGGUAGUUGGUGGGGUAAUGGCCUACCAAGCCGACAAUCCAUAGCUGGUUUGAGAGGAUGAUCAGCCACACUGGGACUGAGACACGGCCCAGACUCCUACGGGAGGCAGCAGUGGGGAAUCUUAGACAAUGGGGGCAACCCUGAUCUAGCCAUGCCGCGUGAGUGAUGAAGGCCUUAGGGUUGUAAAGCUCUUUCAGCUGGGAAGAUAAUGACGGUACCAGCAGAAGAAGCCCCGGCUAACUCCGUG